rnacentral:rRNA from 1 species
CGACAGCAAUAUGAAGGUCAGGCUGAAGACCUUACCCGAUUAGCUGAGAGGUGGUGCAUGGCCGUCGUCAGUUCGUACUGUGAAGCAUCCUGUUAAGUCAGGCAACGAGCGAGACCCACGUCCACAGUUGCCAGCAUACCCUCCGGGGUGAUGGGUACACUGUGGAGACCGCCGCUGCUAAAGCGGAGGAAGGAGUGGGCAACGGUAGGUCAGUAUGCCCCGAAUCUCCCGGGCUACGCGCGGGCUACAAUGGUUGGUACAAUGGGCAUCUACCCCGAAAGGGGAAGGAAAUCUCUUAAAGCCAAUCGUAGUUCGGAUUGAGGGCUGCAACUCGCCCUCAUGAAGCUGGAAUCCGUAGUAAUCGCGUUUCAACAGAACGCGGUGAAUACGUCCCUGCUCCUU